rnacentral:rRNA from 1 species
ACGGAGGGUGCAAGCGUUAAUCGGAAUUACUGGGCGUAAAGCGCACGCAGGCGGUUUGUUAAGUCAGAUGUGAAAUCCCCGGGCUCAACCUGGGAACUGCAUCUGAUACUGGCAAGCUUGAGUCUCGUAGAGGGGGGUAGAAUUCCAGGUGUAGCGGUGAAAUGCGUAGAGAUCAGGAGGAACACCGGCGGCGCAGGCGGCCCACUGGACUAUUUCUGACGCUCAGGUGCGAAAGCGUGGGGAGCAAACAG